GACGAACGCUGGCGGCGUGCUUAACACAUGCAAGUCGAACGGUAAGGCCCUUCGGGGUACACGAGUGGCGAACGGGUGGGUAACACGUGGGUGAUCUGCCCUGCACUUCGGGAUAAGCCUGGGAAACUGGGUCUAAUACCGGAUAGGACCCUGGGAUGCAUGUCCUGGGGUGGAAAGCUUUUGCGGUGUGGGAUGGGCCCGCGGCCUAUCAGCUUGUUGGUGGGGUGAUGGCCUACCAAGGCGACGACGGGUAGCCGGCCUGAGAGGGUGACCGGCCACACUGGGACUGAGAUACGGCCCAGACUCCUACGGGAGGCAGCAGUGGGGAAUAUUGCACAAUGGGCGCAAGCCUGAUGCAGCGACGCCGCGUGAGGGACGACGGCCUUCGGGUUGUAAACCUCUUUCAGCACCGACGAAGCGCAAGUGACGGUAGGUGCAGAAGAAGGACCGGCCAACUACGUGCCAGCAGCCGCAGUAA
rnacentral:rRNA from 1 species